AUGAUGCAAGCGCAAGUCGUCCUCGUCCACAUCUCCAUGGCGACCACCAUCACGUUUGUGAUCCACCUCGUCAUGAAGGGCAAGUCACAUCCAAGCAACAUGUGCACGAUGACAACGAACGACAUCUACAUCGAGCUCAAGCACGACAACGACAACAUCAUCAUGAAGAUGCUCGAGAUGUGCCUACCUACAAGUCGCAACAAGCCCUACUUCACGCCAAGUCCAAACUUCAUGACCACAAGAGAAGACCGCGAGACAAGCACCACCAAGAUGGAGCUACAGCUACACCAACCACUUUGGCAUCUUCUCCAAGCGACUUCAAGGCAUCUUCGCCAACAAGCACCUCACGACUAUGCUCAAGAGAAGCUCCCCAAGCUCAAGUCCGCGACUUCCACGAGCUACUACGACCUCGACAUGGACCACACGAUUCCUUUAUAUGGGACUCAAGAACCCGAGGAGUAUCUCGAGUGGGAGCAUUUGAUGGACGAAUACCUCAAGCUACAUCAAGUCCCUCCUGAAGAUCAAGUGAAGUGCGCCACAAGGAACUUCCACGACUACGGGUCCACAUGGUGGCUUCACACACCUUUGGAGAGCUACGACAUGAGUUGGACCAAGACGAAGAGAGCUUUGCAGUGA
rnacentral:rRNA from 1 species